rnacentral:rRNA from 1 species
AGCCUGACGCAGCGACGCCGCGUGGGGGAUGACGGCCUUCGGGUUGUAAACCUCUUUCGCCAGGGACGAAGCUUUUGUGACGGUACCUGGAGAAGAAGCACCGGCCAACUACGUGCCAGCAGCCGCGGUAACACGUAGGGUGCGAGCGUUGUCCGGAAUUAUUGGGCGUAAAGAGCUCGUAGGCGGUGUGUCGCGUCGGCCGUGAAAACUUGGGGCUUAACUCUGAGCGUGCGGUCGAUACGGGCAUCACUUGAGUUCGGCAGGGGAGACUGGAAUUCCUGGUGUAGCGGUGAAAUGCGCAGAUAUCAGGAGGAACACCGGUGGCGAAGGCGGGUCUCUGGGCCGAUACUGACGCUGAGGAGCGAAAGCGUGGGGAGCGAACAGGAUUAGAUACCCUGGUAGUCCACGCCGUAAACGUUGGGCGCUAGGUGUGGGGACCAUUCCACGGUUUCUGUGCCGCAGCUAACGCAUUAAGCGCCCCGCCUGGGGAGUACGGCCGCAAGGCUAAAAC